UACGGGGGGAGCAAGCGUUGUUCGGAAUUACUGGGCGUAAAGGGCUCGUAGGCGGCCAACUAAGUCAUACGUGAAAUCCCUCGGCUUAACCGGGGAACUGCGUCUGAUACUGGAUGGCUUGAGUUCGGGAGAGGGAUGCGGAAUUCCAGGUGUAGCGGUGAAAUUCGUAGAUAUCGGGAGGAACACCGGUGGCGAAGGCGGCGACCUGGGUAGAUACUGACGCUGAGGCGCGAAAGCGUGGGGAGCAAACAGG
rnacentral:rRNA from 1 species